GAGCCGUUAGCUCAGUCGGUAGAGCAAUUGCCUUUUAAGCAAUGGGUCGUGGGUUCGAGCCCCACACGGCUCA
rnacentral:tRNA from 2 species